UACAGAGGUGGCAAGCGUUGUUCGGAAUUACUGGGCGUAAAGGGCGCGUAGGCGGCCUUCUAAGUCAGACGUGAAAUCCCCCGGCUUAACCUGGGAACUGCGUCUGAUACUGGAGGGCUCGAGUGCGGGAGAGGGAUGUAGAAUUCCAGGUGUAGCGGUGAAAUGCGUAGAUAUCUGGAGGAACACCGGUGGCGAAGGCGGCAUCCUGGACCGACACUGACGCUGAGGCGCGAAAGCUAGGGUAGCAAACGGG
rnacentral:rRNA from 1 species